rnacentral:rRNA from 1 species
AUUGAACGCUGGCGGCAGGCCUAACACAUGCAAGUCGAGCGGAUGAAGGGAGCUUGCUCCUGGAUUCAGCGGCGGACGGGUGAGUAAUGCCUAGGAAUCUGCCUGGUAGUGGGGGAUAACGUCCGGAAACGGGCGCUAAUACCGCAUACGUCCUGAGGGGGAAAGUGGGGAAUCUUCGGACCUCACGCUAUCAGAUGAGCCUAGGUCGGAUUAGCUAGUUGGUGGGGUAAAGGCCUACCAAGGCGACGAUCCGUAACUGGUCUGAGAGGAUGAUCAGUCACACUGGAACUGAGACACGGUCCAGACUCCUACGGGAGGCAGCAGUGGGGAAUAUUGGACAAUGGGCGAAAGCCUGAUCCAGCCAUGCCGCGUGUGUGAAGAAGGUCUUCGGAUUGUAAAGCACUUUAAGUUGGGAGGAAGGGCAGUAAGUUAAUACCUUGCUGUUUUGACGUUACCAACAGAAUAAGCACCGGCUAACUUCGUG